UGGCCUUGGAGAAAAUUAAUUAAAGUUCAAAAGAAUAUUUAAAAUUACGGCUUACGCGCCCUACGAUAUUCAAACUCCUUCUCCAGACCUAGUUGAUAACAAUCAGGCGAUCAAGGUUGCCAUCUGAUCCUCGCAAUCGAUUUAUCGAUUAUAAAAAACUAUCUUUUCCGACCCAAGCCGCGUGUGUCCCGAAAAAGUGCAUAGAAACUUUAGAAAAAUCUAACGGCAUCCGCGACCUAAUCAGCUAAUUUAGCUAACAGGCGCACACCCGCCAAUCCCGAGCUAAAAGUACGAAGGCCCAAUACCGCGUGCUAUCACGGCUGGCUGCUCCGGCAUUGCCUUACAUAAAGGACUUAGGAUUAAAUUCAACUAUAUCAGUCAAACAUAGGGCAGCUCUACCUCCCAUUUUCAUCAUCGUCGGCCCCGUUCAAGCCUUACAAAAGGGCUAGCAACAACCCUUUCGACCCAGCAGCUAUUUUUAGCGUGGUCGCAGCAACACAAUUCAAGCUUUAACUUCGUCGCCUGUUGUUGUUAUCCUACCCGCGCUAUUCAAGGCGGCUGAGCAGCGCGAAGGUAAGAUCAACGUCCACAACUGCGACGAGGGAGGAAUCUUCGCCAGGCCAGGAUCGACAGAUACUUAAAAACCAAGAUAAACCCCUUUGCCAUUUGACUAAAUUUUAUUUUUAUUAAAGCUUUUAGGCUAGUGUUGGCGCUUUUGUUGAAAAAGAAAUAUUAAAGUUAAAGUUUUUCUGAGCACAUUCUUUUCUCCUCUGCCACGAAAAUGUAAACAAUUAUAAAUAUGUAGACGCAGAACGCAUAGAAUGCGGAGAAGUUGAAGAGAGACAUAUUAAAUGCGAGGAUAAAAACAAAAA